GCGCCCGUAGCUCAGCUGGAUAGAGCGUGUGACUACGGAUCACAAGGUCGGGAGUUCGAAUCUCUCCGGGCGCGCCA
rnacentral:tRNA from 1 species